rnacentral:rRNA from 1 species
GCAAGUCGAACGAGAAAGCCCCUUCGGGGGUGAGUAGAGUGGCGCACGGGUGAGUAACACGUGGAUAAUCUGCCUGAUAAUCCGGGAUAACAUCUCGAAAGGGGUGCUAAUACCGGAUAAGCCCACAGCCUCCUCGGAGGCAGCGGGAAAAGAUGGCCUCUUCUUGAAAGCUAUUGUUAUCAGAUGAGUCCGCGGUCCAUUAGCUAGUUGGUAGGGUAACGGCCUACCAAGGCGACGAUGGAUAGCUGGUUUGAGAGAAUGAUC